UACGGAGGGUGCAAGCGUUAUUCGGAAUUACUGGGCGUAAAGCGCACGCAGGUGGCUGAGUCAGUCGAUUGUGAAAGCCCUGGGCUUAACCUGGGAAUUGCAGUCGAUACUACUCAGCUAGAGUAUGGGAGAGGGCAGUGGAAUUCCCGGUGUAGCGGUGAAAUGCGUAGAUAUCAGGAGGAACACCGGUGGCGAAGGCGGGUCUCUGGGCCGAUACUGACGCUGAGGAGCGAAAGCGUGGGGAGCGAACAGG
rnacentral:rRNA from 1 species